AACGAACGCUGGCGGCAUGCCUAACACAUGCAAGUCGAACGAGACCUUCGGGUCUAGUGGCGCACGGGUGCGUAACGCGUGGGAACCUGCCCUUAGGUUCGGAAUAACUCCCCGAAAGGGGUGCUAAUACCGGAUAAUGUCUUCGGACCAAAGAUUUAUCGCCUUUGGAUGGGCCCGCGUUAGAUUAGCUAGUUGGUAGGGUAAAAGCCUACCAAGGCGACGAUCCAUAGCUGGUCUGAGAGGAUGAUCAGCCACACUGGGAAUGAGACACGGCCCAGACUCCUACGGGAGGCAGCAGAGGAGAAUAUUGGACAAUGAGCGAAAGCCUGAUCAAGCAAUGCCGCGUGAGUGAUGAAGGCCUUAGGGUUGUAAAGCUCUUUUACCCGGGAUGAUAAUGACAGUACCGGGAGAAUAAGCACCGGCUAACUCCGUG
rnacentral:rRNA from 1 species